ACAACAGCUGUAAGGGUGACUUCUCAAGGUCUUCCCUCAGUGCAGGAGUGGUAAACUCCCAUGCCUGACUCGCUGAGGAGGCUCACGAAGGUAAGGAAGCAGAAUCACUUCUAGCCAAGGACUGGAGCUCACAGUCUCACUCAGCAUGGCAGCCACACACUCUGCAGCAAAUUGUUGGCCUCCAGGAAAGAUGGUCCAGACAUUUCCAACAGAAACUGGGGCUCAUGUAGCCAGGCUGCUCCUGUACUCCCUGUGAAUUAAAGCUGAGAAUUGCCUUGAGAUCCAUGUAUUUUCUGCCUCCAUCUUCCAAGUAAGUUUCCCGAGUGCAGAAGAAAGAUGAUUACAAUGGUAACUGGUUCUGCAGAAUGUCCCCCCACAGGAUCUGAAUCCAGAGAAACCACAGCAUUGAGGGUGUUGAACAGUCACUGCAAAACGAGCUCCCUCUCCUCAAAGCAUCAGGAGAAGAGAGAACCCAAAAACGGCCUCCAAGCUUAAUUGGGGGCGGCUGCUUUCAGGGGGUGAUGAGGGAUUGCUGUGCUGCUGACUUCCCAAAGUGACUCAGAGCUCUCUGCAUAAUCAAAUUCCCCUGAGGACUUGGACACGUUCUUCGCUGACAACCCACUUCUUCCUCCACCUCCUCUCUCUCCUUCCACAAAUCUAGAUCAGGCCCAGGGAUCUAGGGCACUCUUUGAUUUUUAAGAAUGACAUCUUCACUUCUUUCUUUACAUUUCUGUUCUGCUUCCAUCACCUGUCUAAUCCCACCCUAGGCCACUCGAUCAACCAACCAACUUCUCAUAAGCAUUUCCAUUAUUCAUCCAACAACUAUUUUUAAAGUGUCUUCUAUGUGCCAGAUACACUGGCGGUGUGCAAGUAAAUAAAGUGAUUUUUCAAUGAUGACA
rnacentral:lncRNA from 1 species